UACGUAGGGGGCUAGCGUUGUCCGGAAUCAUUGGGCGUAAAGCGCGUGUAGGCGGUCCGGUAAGUCCGCUGUGAAAGUCGAGGGCCCAACCCUCGAAUGCCGGUGGAUACUGUCGGGCUUGAGUACGGGAGAGGCGAGUGGAAUUCCUGGUGUAGCGGUGAAAUGCGCAGAUAUCAGGAGGAACACCGAUUGCGAAGGCAGCUCGCUGGAACGUUACUGACGCUGAGAACGCGGAAAGCAG
rnacentral:rRNA from 1 species